rnacentral:rRNA from 1 species
CCCUACGGGGGGCAGCAGUGAGGAAUAUUGGUCAAUGGGCGGAAGCCUGAACCAGCCAAGUCGCGUGAGGGAAUAAGGCCCUACGGGUCGUAAACCUCUUUUGCCGGGGAGCAAGGGCCGGGACGCGUCCCGGCCCGGAGAGUACCCGGAGAAAAAGCAUCGGCUAACUCCGUGCCAGCAGCCGCGGUAAUACGGAGGAUGCGAGCGUUAUCCGGAUUUAUUGGGUUUAAAGGGUGCGUAGGCGGUUUGUCAAGUCAGCGGUAAAAAUUCCGGGCUCAACCCGGUCCCGCCGUUGAAACUGGCGG